AGCGAACGCUGGCGGCAGGCUUAACACAUGCAAGUCGAACGGGCACUUCGGUGUCAGUGGCAGACGGGUGAGUAACACGUGGGAACGUACCUCUUGGUUCGGAACAACACAGGGAAACUUGUGCUAAUACCGGAUAAGCCCUUACGGGGAAAGAUUUAUCGCCGAGAGAUCGGCCCGCGUCUGAUUAGCUAGUUGGUGAGGUAAUGGCUCACCAAGGCGACGAUCAGUAGCUGGUCUGAGAGGAUGAUCAGCCACAUUGGGACUGAGACACGGCCCAAACUCCUACGGGAGGCAGCAGUGGGGAAUAUUGGACAAUGGGGGCAACCCUGAUCCAGCCAUGCCGCGUGAGUGAUGAAGGCCCUAGGGUUGUAAAGCUCUUUUGUGCGGGAAGAUAAUGACGGUACCGCAAGAAUAAGCCCCGGCUAACUUCGUGCCAGCCGCCGCAGUAAAAC
rnacentral:rRNA from 1 species